rnacentral:rRNA from 1 species
UACGUAGGGGGCAAGCGUUGUCCGGAUUUAUUGGGCGUAAAAGGCUUGUAGGUGGCCACGCCAAGUCGGAUGUGAAAUCUCCCGGCUCAACUGGGAGGGGUCAUUCGAUACUGGUGGGCUCGAGGCCGGUAGGGGGAAGCGGAAUUCCCGGUGUAGUGGUGGAAUGCGUAGAUAUCUGGAGGAAUACCGGUGGCGAAGGCGGCAUCCUGGACCGACAUUGACGCUGAGGAGCGAAAGCCAGGGGAGCAAACGGG